rnacentral:rRNA from 1 species
UAGGGAAUCUUCCACAAUGGACGCAAGUCUGAUGGAGCAACGCCGCGUGAGUGAAGAAGGUCUUCGGAUCGUAAAACUCUGUUGUUAGAGAAGAACACGAGUGAGAGUAACUGUUCAUUCGAUGACGGUAUCUAACCAGCAAGUCACGGCUAACUACGUGGCAG